AUGGGCGAUUUUAAUGAAAUUCUGUAUGCCCACGAAAAAGGAGGAAAUGCAAGACCAAAUUCAAUGAUGAGAGAAUUUCGCAAUUGUUUGGGAGAGUGCAGUCUGGAUGAUAUGGGAUAUAUUGGAGAUCAAUUCACUUGGAGGAGAGGGGACAUAAGGGAGAGACUUGAUCGUGCGGUUUGCAAUUUAGAAUGGGCAAAUAAAUUUCCUCGGGCUGCUGUAGUGAAUGAGGAACAUGUUCACUCUGACCAUCAUCCUCUCAUCCUGGAUACAGAUUACUUUGAUGAUAAUAUGUUUAAUCGCCCAAGGGGUCGAACAAAACAGUUUGAAGCUAGAUGGCUACAAGAAGAGAUGGUCGGGUAG
rnacentral:rRNA from 1 species